GACCAUCCGUUGCAAACCGACCGGUCCGAGUGACUGUAAAUCAAUUCGGUCGGUUUAAUUCGGGUUCGCGGUUUGGGCGGGUGAAGAUAUUGGGCUUCAUCGGAUACACAUGGUCGGAUUCGGAUGAAUUUUUUUGGCCCGUCGGAAUCCGAACCCGUCCGAUAUAUUAUUACUAGUUUUUCACCCUUAAAAACAUAAAUUUGUAACCCUAGCUUGCACUUCCUCUCAAAUGAAACCCUUCCCUCACAGCCGCCCCUCCUCUCUCACUUCUUCCAUCCUUCCUUCUUUCACCACCAACCAACACCAUCAUCGGUGCUACAACCACCAUCAUCGGUGCUACAUCAACGUUUGUUUUGAAAUCUAACCAAAUUCGUGUAGAUCCAUAAGCUAUGUAUCGCAACUCAAUCCAACAAAAGGUGGUUAGUUGUCUUCAAACAAACAGAGAUGUGGUUUUAUGCUUCUAGUGAAAGAUCUUUGAACAGAGAUCUGGUUUUAUGCUUUUGGUGAAAGAUCUUCAAACAAAGGAGAUAUGUGCAUAUGCCCUAAAAAUCAAUUUGUAUACAAUCUAAUGUUGGUGUCUGAUGUUGGUCCUGCAAAAAGUUUAUGCAAGAUGUAAUGUUUCAUGGUCAAUGCUCAAUACUACUUGAAGAGGUGAUGUAUAGGUUUUUUAUUUGGGGUUGAGAAGCUUUUAUUUUCACUACUCAUGAUAGUUUCAUUUCACUUAUUGUUGUGAAGUAGAGAAUGUUGCAGCUCAAUGUAUCUCUCAUUUUAAUAAAUUAUUUAGCUGUUUGAUAUUUUGGUGUUAUGGUUGUUACUAUUUUGUGUUGUGAUGAAGUGUGGCAUAUGCCAUUUUUGCAGAGUUUAAAAUCAAGGUAUUUAUCCUUCAUGACCCAUUGGUUAUAGAGCCAUGCCUGCUCAUGCUUAGAGUAUCAGGAGAAAUCAAGAUUUUUAGCAGGAUUGAUUUAGAUAAAUAACAUAUGGUAUAACUCAGUUAUGCUUGUUGCAGAUUUUUAGUGGGGCUGAUUUAGAGAAAAAAAUAUAUGGAUUUGAAAUAAUUUAAAUAUGUUGAAGAAUUAAUGAAUUUAUGCUUUGGGGAAUGGAGAUAAUUUAUUAUUUGUAUUGUUUAUGAUAUUGUAAUAUUAUAUAAUUUUUUAUUUAUGUUAUUUAGAAAUUUCAAGAUAAAGAAUUAUUUGAUUUUUAA